AUGAAUGCAACAACUAUGGAUCCAUUUGCUAGGUUUCAGAGAAAUGUCGGUGUUUCUGCUUUUCCAAGCUUGCGUUCACUGCAAGAUAAUCUCCAGCUUCCUUUCUUUUUCUCCACUUCGGCUACGCAGCCUUUUCACGGUGGUGACGUUCUUGAAGGGUGGGGUAUGCCGCAAGACGAGCAAAGGGCGGUGAUUGACGGUGGUGGUCACAACAUGGAGGGUUAG